GUGAACUUCCUAAAAUUCCCCCAAUUCCUCUUUGCUGAUUUCUUUUGGGGAGAAGGAGGAAAGCAGAAUAGAUCAGGGAUUCCUUAAUAAUGACUUGGGGGAGUGGAUGUCAUUCUGUUCACAGUAACCCAAUAUUCUUGCAAAGGUUUCUUGCUUCUUAGAGAAACCUGAGAUUCUGAUAUCACCUUCAAUCCAGCCAACCAUUGAAAAAGCAAGAUUAUAGAGAAGCUAAACAACCAUAAUACUCACUCGUGGUUUCGAGUUCAUCCACCACUGCAGCGCAGUUCAUCCAUAGAUCGGAACUGGGAAGCUUUUGGCGUUUCUUUGGAGAAUUUCUCGAGGCAAUUGGUUUACUGACGAUUAAAAUUGGUACAUGAUAAAAUUCAGAAUCUCAAAUUCAACUGAAACAACAAUAAUAUCUUUAUUCGAUGAAGUGGAAUCAUUGAUCGGAUGUCCGGCAGCUGAAUACACAAAAUCAAUUGAAAAGCAUCGAGAGAAACUACAUUCUUGCAUAUCUAGAACAGAUUGUUUCUAUUUCAAGAUGCAUAAAAGUAAUGCAGUAAAUCGGACAACAAAAAGAAUUGUUGCUGAAAGCAUACAAGAAGUGAAGUGUGUGGACGAGACAGAUUCUGAAGAAAAUCAAAUAGCAAAACGAAGAAAGAAAUAGAGAACAAUACUUCUUUUGUUAUAUUCAAUUUAUGAGAUAUAUUUUGAGAUGUAAUUAAAUGUAGACUCAUGAGUUGAAUAUGUCAUUUGAUAAACUUUGAAAUGACAAGCAAUGACUAGCACCUCUAAUUUAUAAUUUCUCUACAUCCUAUCUACUAUUUAACUAAUGUUCUGACAUCUACAUAUGUUGUAGCUAAUUUAUUAAGUUUGACUCAAUUCUAAUUGUAUAUUCUUUAACCUUAAGUUCAUAAUUGUGUAUGCUUUCCUCUUCUAUAUUUUCUGGUAGACUUAUUACUAGUACAUACAAAUUGAUGUGUGGAUGGUGACACUAAAGUGGUUGGAAAAUACUGUUAAUACACAAUCUAUAAAUAUUUCAUUCUAUGGAGAGAUUAAAGGACUUGCAAAGUGUUAACUGGUGAUUCUGAAAGUUGUGAUUCUAUUUGUAAUACCCUACUUCUUAAACCCGAUCUAAUUACAGGGUUGACUCAGUUUAACUAUGUAGGACCCGAACCGGAGAGGGUUAACGCGGGUUCCUUAUGGACUAUGAUGACAAGGGUGACCUUAAACACUGACUGGCCAGAUAAGUCUGAGCCAAUGCCAGAGGAGACGGGGGUACCCAAGCCGUGUACAUGCUCCUAUCAUAAGGCCAUGUACGGAUA